UUUAGAAUAGCUUAAUUAAAGCAUUGAAUUUGUAAUUCAAAAGAUGAAAAUUCUUCUUUUUUGUAAAA
rnacentral:tRNA from 1 species